ensembl:lncRNA
GAGAAUUUGUUCUGCACGCAUAGAAGCAGCUACAAACGGUGCAGGUCUUUCAAUGAAAGAACGGUUAGUACAGCAUGCCAAACUGAGUGUUCCUGUGCUGCGGUGGAGAAGAGGUCCACUGGGACCAUCACUAAAGAGCUCGUGGCCCAGCUAGAUUGCGCUCACGACCAUCAGUAUACACCCAAGUCCUGCCCCUAUCGGCCACAGAUGGAGCUGAGUGAGAUGAGUGAAGACCAGGACUCACUGUAUGAACCUGAGUGCUCAGAAUCACAAUCAUCACAGUGCGAGCCAAGAGAUACUUUCGAAGAGUGUGUUUGCAAGAUCCGAAAUACAUAGUCUUUGAUAGCAAGCUGAAGGAGUUGUUCAAUGUCGAGCAGGUGUCAUCAGUUCAUCCCUGAAAAUAUAUAUUGCAGUUUUGAAACUGCAGUAAAAGUGGAAUAACUGCAGUCAUAUAGCUGUGAGGUGUGAGGAAACGGCUGGUGACCAUCGGGAAGCCAGAGGUACUGCCAUGGGUGAGGGCAUUAACGCACCACCUGUGGUACUGUGCCUCCACUGCUGGUGGGAGCGUCCAGGUGCUAAAAGAAAAGUACUUAUUUAUCUCUAGUUACAUGAAUUAGAUCUUUCAUUUUGUAGGUGAUGAAGUGUGUUCAGACAGUUGAACUCAAGCGUGUACAUGCCCUAUACACUAAAUAUGUGCCCAAGAGGAACAAGUUCAGCCAGCAGGGGAUGGCCGCAAGACUCCAAGUGGCUGACUUGGACCACAAUUAUUCAGUGGACAGACAGAAGGCUACAAGAAAGGAGAGAGUGCUCAGUUUCAAGCAAAAGUUCAAAAUUGCUGCCAGGUUGUUUGUGGUGAAACCCAUCAAGGAGAAGACAUGGUGUUCCCUGUCUGAGAUUCUACAUGGCAUUGUUGACCAAUGUGCCAAUGGUAACUGCUCAACAUAUGAUGUCAGAUGUAGACAUAUAGAGAGAGAAAUGACCUAAAAUGAUUUGUGUAACUUAUACCUGGCUCUAGGACCAGCAGACUCUCCUGAGUGCCCAAAGAGAGAGUGGCGGUCACUUUGGGGGAGCGGGCUGGUGUUUCCGAAAAUGGAGAGAAGGAGGCCAUUCAACAGUGAACUCAAAGAUAGACCCAUCCAUAGAGGGAAUCGGAGUGGAAUUGUUUUUUCACAGAUAUUUUUUACCCGUUUCAACAGAUGUGCUACCUUGUCCUGGACCUGCUGUUUUGACUCGCUCUCUCGGACCUGCUGCCUCGACCUAUGAAUGCUCAGCUAUGAAAAGCCAACGGACAUUUGCUCCUGAGGUGUCGAAGUGUUGCACCCUCUAUAACCACUGUGGUUAAUAUUUUGAUGUAAAAAGGGCUUUGUAAAAAUAAUUUGAUUGUUUGCUGUGCUGCGUGCUGUGUAUUCACUAACUGUCUGCGUGCUGUGUAUUCACUAACUGUCUGCGUGAUGUGUAUUCACUAACUGUCUGCGUGCUGUGUAUUCACUGUCUGCGUGCUGUGUAUUCACUAACUGUCUGCGUGAUGUGCCAUUUUUAUAGUAUCUGUAACAUAUUUUGGUGUGUACUUAAUCUGCAACAACUUCUUAAAGUGGCAAUCAGCAGUAGAAACGAUAACAAAGUGUCCUCCCCGCCCCUGUUUCGGUAAACAGCUGAGGGAUGGGGCUGGAGAAAUGGAACCACUCUCACAUUCAUAGACAGAGCUAUGGAUGCAAGGACUGACCAUGUUGAGGUUAUAUUGUGUUUCUUUCUAUUUUCUUUGUUUACAAACAUUGGGUAUUUUGGGUUUCGAUCUUGUAGGAAAGUUGAACUAUGCUCAUGAGGCAUUUAUAAGUUAGAUUCAAGAAUCAAUGGUUAGAUAUCAUUCAUUUAUAAGUGCUGCUGAUUGCCCCUUUAAGGUAAGCUACAGUUGUAGUGUCUAUUGAUCUUGUGCUUGAGACAAUUACAAGACUUUCCUGUGAAUCCUCUUGUUUCAUUGGAACCUUAAUAACCCUGUAAUUGACUAUGUAUUGUUGUAAUCCUGUUUCUAUGAUCUGUUUCUACUACCAUGUACCCAGUUUGCUUUGGAUAAAGGCAUAUGCUAAAUGGCAUACAUUA